UUACUGGGGUAAAAGGGUCUGUAGGUGGUUUGUUAAGUCAGAUGUGAAAGCCCAGGGCUCAACCUUGGAACUGCAUUUGAUACUGGCAAACUAGAGUAUGGUAGAGGAAUGGGGAAUUUCUGGUGUAGCGGUGAAAUGCGUAGAGAUCAGAAGGAACACCAAUGGCGAAGGCAACAUUCUGGACCAAUACUGACACUGAGGGACGAAAGCGUGGGGAUCAAACAGGAUUAGAUACCCUGGUAGUCCACGCUGUAAACGAUGAGUACUAGCUGUUGGAUUCGGUGUAAAGGAUCUAGUGGCGUAGCUAACGCGUUAAGUACUCCGCCUGGGGACUACGGCCGCAAGGCUAAAACUCAAAGGAAUUGACGGGGACCCGCACAAGCGGUGGAGCAUGUGGUUUAAUUCGAUGCAACGCGAAGAACCUUACCUGGUCUUGACAUCCUGCGAACUUUCUAGAGAUAGAUUGGUGCCUUCGGGAACGCAGUGACAGGUGCUGCACGGCUGUCGUCAGCUCGUGUUGUGAAAUGUUGGGUUAAGUCCCGCAACGAGCGCAACCCCUAUUGAUAGUUACCAUCAUUAAGUUGGGUACUCUAUUGAGACUGCCGCUGACAAGGCGGAGGAAGGUGGGGACGACGUCAAGUCAUCAUGGCCCUUACGACCAGGGCUACACACGUGCUACAAUGGGUAUUACAGAGGGCAGCGAAGUAGCGAUAUGGAGCGAAACUCAGAAAGGUACUCUUAGUCCGGAUUGCAGUCUGCAACUCGACUGCAUGAAGUCGGAAUCGCUAGUAAUCGCAGGUCAGAAUACUGCGGUGAAUACGUUCCCGGGUCUUGUACACACCGCCCGUCACACCAUGGGAGUGGGUUGCUCCAGAAGUAGAUA
rnacentral:rRNA from 1 species